GGACGAACGCUGGCGGCACGCUUAACACAUGCAAGUCGAACGAGAGAAGAGAAGCUUGCUUUUCUGAUCUAGUGGCGGACGGGUGAGUAACACGUGAGCAAUCUGCCUUUCAGAGGGGGAUACCGAUUGGAAACGAUCGUUAAUACCGCAUAACAUAAUUGAACCGCAUGAUUUGAUUAUCAAAGAUUUAUCGCUGAAAGAUGAGCUCGCGUCUGAUUAGCUAGUUGGUAAGGUAACGGCUUACCAAGGCGACGAUCAGUAGCCGGACUGAGAGGUUGAUCGGCCACAUUGGGACUGAGAUACGGCCCAGACUCCUACGGGAGGCAGCAGUGGGGAAUAUUGGGCAAUGGGCGCAAGCCUGACCCAGCAACGCCGCGUGAAGGAAGAAGGCUUUCGGGUUGUAAACUUCUUUUGUCAGGGACGAGUAGAAGACGGUACCUGACGAAUAAGCCACGGCUAACUACGUG
rnacentral:rRNA from 1 species